CAACGGACGAGAAGCGCCGCGCCACGUUUGGGACAACUCCAGGCGAGGAGGUGCUCCAGACCAUCUGUCCUAACAAACAGAUCAUGGGAGUGUAAUAGCAGGCCUGAAACGGUGGAAGCAUGAUCCACAGGUGGGCCUUGUUAUAGCAGUCUCAACGCCUCGGUUUUGUGUCCGACCCCGUCUGACAUCUUACCCAAUAAACA